AAUCACCACACAUGUCACUACCGAUAACACAUCAAUGCUGGCUCAGUGAUGAUGUCAUCUUUACGGCUCAGACCUGUUCAUGAAAAGAAGCACAUUUCAUUGGUAGAAGCGUUUUUCCCACGGUUACGGCAUGCUGCACUUUAUUCUGAUUGCAGAGGAGUGGAACGACACCGAGGCUCUGUGUUUGUGCACUGGUGAUGGGUGGCUCAUCGUCUGCAGUGAAUGAGCUGAUGAAGAGUCUGAGUCCUCGCCGGCCUGCCCGGAGUACUGUUACAGAUCAGGUGACUCCUCGGGGCUGAGCUGGGACGUGGGUGGAGGAGGCACCGUCUCUCGGAGCGUUUAAAAGAAGGGCUCGGCGUCCGAUCCGUCUCCUGAGCCAACAGCAAGCAGGAGCGAUGAGAAGUUCGGACGCAGCCGUGCACAGAAAACACGAUCGGUUCGAUUUAAAGAGGAGCAGGAAGUCCGGGCGCUGGGGUCUGCCUGUCAGCGAGGGGACGAGUCAGACUCUGGAGAGCAGCGUCCAGCGGAUCAACAGAUCAUCUUCUAAACUUCACACCGUGAGCAGGUUAACCACGGGUCAAAGGUCAUCACAAACAGGCCAAUCUGAGCUGAAACAGGCCGCUAACAUCCCUCUGCCGCCCAUCAGGGGCUCCAGACCCGUCGGCGGCAGAGGAGAAGUCCCUGCAGCUCCGCCUGCCAUCAGAAAUACGAUCCUUCAUGUGUUUGUGGCAAAGCGGGGGAAACCAAUCCAGAAAUCGGACAGACUCAGCGAAAUCCACGGCAGACCGGCGCUCGCUGAGCGGCUGGAACAGCAGAAGAGUGAUGACAUCAUUGGUGUGGACGGUGGCCGUGCGACGACGAUGCUGGUCACGGUUAAAGAUGAUGGCGGCGCCUGUGAGGAGCGGCGGCAGCAGAGAGAGUUCUGCUCCGAUGACUCAGCUGCUGAAACAUUAUCUGAGGACUCAGAGGUCAGAGGUCAUGUAGAGACACCGGAGGAGGAGGAUGGCAGUGAUGACGAGUACUACAGCGAGGAGAGGAUCACAGAGUGGAUCCUCCAGGUCAACUCGAGCCUCUUCUCUACAGGAAACACUCAGAGAGGCGCCGAGUCUGCAGAGGAGCGAGACGUGGCCACCAUAAAGAUCAUCUACAGCGGAGACUGAACUCCCAGCUCAGCCUCUUCCUCCUCCUCAUCAGCCUGGACCUCCUUUCACAGGACGCACACAACCAGGGAGGAGCCUGAGGUCCUCGAGGAGCAACGCUGGCAAAAAUACAGAAAAAGUUUCAGCAAAUAGAACAGCUGUAAUCUGGGACACUGGUGAUACCAGCUCCAAUUCACUUUCAUUCAAAUUCAUGCAUAUAAACAAAUAACUGUACAUGAGUAACUUAAACUUGUUACUGUGGCCCACCUGCAGUACCAUCGCAGCCCACCGGGGGGGGGGGGGGCACAGUGCAUUAAUUUAAAUAAAUGGAAUCAACCUGGACGAGUGUCAGCAGAUCCUUUCAGAUCCCACCGAGGCUUUGCUCCAACCAGUGUUCUUCAUCAGAAACAGAGCUUUUGAUUGGUUAGUGAUGUCCUGGGCUGAACGUUUCUCUGUAGCUUCUGCGCAGGUUGAAUUCCCACAAUCCUUUUCUGUGUGCCACCAGAGAGCAGGAGCAUAAAUCCUGCAUACAUGGGGCAUAAAUCAGUUCUAUUAAAUAUUAUUUAUAUAGCGUUAAAUGAACAUCAGCUUUUAUUCACUGAGCCUCAAGUGAGAGACUAACCCGGCUCGGUCAUUCUCACCUGAUUUUCUCGAUGGGCGGGGUUAGUGCUGAUGACUCGAACUGCGAUCUCGUCCUAAUCUCAACAAUACGAAGAAAAAAAGACCGAAUUUAAUUAUCAGAUAAAAAAUAACUGUCCGUUAUCUACGUUCACUUAUCCUAACAUCAGCCUGUUUCACCUGGCUGAGUUCACCCAGGG
ensembl:lncRNA